UGAGUGUGAGGGUAGACUGGCUGGCUAGGUGGUGACCUUAUUUUCCCACACAGAUCAUCGAAAGCUGCUUGGGCUAUCAAAGAUGACGACAGUCACAGAUAAAGGAGAAAGGCUUUUUAGUCAAGAGUAUUCAGAGCUGUGUUUUCCUGCUAGAUCCUCAAAACAGACGUUAAGUAGUGUGCUUAUAUAAGAUCUGUUUAGUAGCUAGGAGAGAGUUUGAGAUAAGAGGAAGGUGUCUUAGUCACCUUCCUGCUU
rnacentral:snRNA from 1 species